CGCUAGCGGCAGGCCUAACACAUGCAAGUCGAGGGGCAUCGGGAUUGAAGCUUGCUUCAAUUGCCGGCGACCGGCGCACGGGUGCGUAACGCGUAUGUAACCUACCUAUAACAGGGGCAUAACACUGAGAAAUUGGUACUAAUUCCCCAUAAUAUUCGGAGAGGCAUCUCUCCGGGUUGAAAACUCCGGUGGUUAUAGAUGGACAUGCGUUGUAUUAGCUAGUUGGUGAGGUAACGGCUCACCAAGGCAACGAUACAUAGGGGGACUGAGAGGUUAACCCCCCACACUGGUACUGAGACACGGACCAGACUCCUACGGGAGGCAGCAGUGAGGAAUAUUGGUCAAUGGACGCAAGUCUGAACCAGCCAUGCCGCGUGCAGGAAGACGGCUCUAUGAGUUGUAAACUGCUUUUGUACGAGGGUAAACUCACCUACGUGUAGGUGACUGAAAGUAUCGUACGAAUAAGGAUCGGCUAACUCCGUGCCAGCAGCCGCGGUAAUACGGAGGAUUCAAGCGUUAUCCGGAUUUAUUGGGUUUAAAGGGUGCGUAGGCGGUUUGAUAAGUUAGAGGUGAAAUCCCGGGGCUUAACUCCGGAACUGCCUCUAAUACUGUUAGACUAGAGAGUAGUUGCGGUAGGCGGAAUGUAUGGUGUAGCGGUGAAAUGCUUAGAGAUCAUACAGAACACCGAUUGCGAAGGCAGCUUACCAAACUAUAUCUGACG
rnacentral:rRNA from 1 species